rnacentral:rRNA from 1 species
UACGUAGGGCGCAAGCGUUGUCCGGAAUUAUUGGGCGUAAAGAGCUCGUAGGCGGUUUGUCGCGUCUGCUGUGAAAACCUCAAGGCUCAACCUUGGGCUUGCAGUGGGUACGGGCAGACUAGAGUGCGGUAGGGGUGACUGGAAUUCCUGGUGUAGCGGUGGAAUGCGCAGAUAUCGGGAGGAACACCGAUGGCGAAGGCAGGUCACUGGGCCGCAACUGACGCUGAGGAGGCGAAAGCAUGGGGAGCGAACCAGGGA